rnacentral:rRNA from 1 species
GACGAACCGUGCGAACGUUGUUCGGAUUCACUGGGCUUAAAGGGCGCGUAGGUGGCUCAGCAAGUCGAGGGUGAAAUCUUUCAGCUCAACUGGAAAAGUGCCUUCGAUACUGCUGGGCUGGAGGGAGAUAGGGGCAUGCGGAACUUCCGGUGGAGCGGUGAAAUGCGUAGAGAUCGGAAAGAACACCAACGGCGAAAGCACUCUGCUGGGCCGACACUGACACUGAGAGACGAAAGCUAGGGGAGCGAAUGGG